UCCGGGGCGGUCCAGUGGCUGAGACGCUCGGUUUUGGUCCGAGAGAUGGGGGUUCGAUCCCUCCCCCCGGAA
rnacentral:tRNA from 1 species